rnacentral:rRNA from 1 species
CCCUUAGAUGUUCUGGGCUGCACGCGCGCUACACUGAUACUUUCAGCGAGUCUAUCCUUGACCGACAGGUCCGGGUAAUCUUUGAAUCUGCAUCGUGACGGGGAUAGAUUAUUGCAAUUAUUAAUCUUCAACGAGGAAUGCCUAGUAGGCGCAAGUCAUCAGCUUGCGUCGAUUACGUCCCUGCCCUUUGUACACACCGCCCGUCGCUCCUACCGAUUGGGUGUGCUGGUGAAAUGUUCGGAUCGGCCGUUUGUCGCGGUUUCCGCGUCAUGUGGCUGAGAAGUUCAUUAAACCCUCCCACCUAGAGGAAGGAGAAGUCGUAACA